UAUAUCCGAGAACAUGCUCUAAAUCUUUGCUAUCUUAUCUUUAUAAAAGAAAAAAAGAUGUUCCAUUUCAUUUUUCAAAUAAUUCCAACAUUCGCCUUUCUAAAGCCAAACACAAAUUUAAAUAAAGUUGUUCAAGUUUUAAAUCCCCUGUAUAGCUCUAAAGUUCUCAUGCUGGGUGAAUGUAACAAAACAGGGCAAUGUGGGUGUGCCACGACGAUGGCAUUAUAACUCCCCAGGCUCUGAUCCCUUUCACACAGUGGGGAGCCUCCAGAGGGGCGCCAAGUUCAUGCACCUGAACCCAUUUUUGGUUAUUUAUUUCCCGCCUUUCUGCAAUCUUCAAAGCUUCAGUGCAAUGUGUAUGCAAAUGUGAGGGUACCACAGUACCAGGACACGCUCAAUCGCAGAGGCACAGUGCUGCUUUGUAAGCACUAAACAUUGAGGCAGGAUUGGAACCAGACGACUGGUGAGGGAUUAAGAAGAAGAGAUAUGAAAUAAUGGGAUGGGGCUGAACUUGAAAGCAUGGUUGAUCUUUGCCUUCCAUCAUUCAUGUCCUUGGUUCUCCUCAAGGAGGAAGAAAAGCAAGAAGAGAAAAGAGGGCCAUCGGUUGCAUAACAUUUGCUACAGAACAGAGUGUUAUAUGAUCAUUUAUAUAUCUAAUAUUAUUUGGACCUCAGUUGGUUCUGGCAUUCUGUCAAUAAUAUAGAGUCAAAAUACUUCAGUUCAGAGUUCAUUCACAUAAAGGUAGCAGACUUAUUUAUCUUGACAUCAGAAAAAAAAAAUCUUACUUGCAACUAAAGAUAGAUUACAUUAGUUUUCCUUGACGUCUACCUUCAGAUUUGUCCUUUUUUUUAAUACUUAAUAAUUAGCUUAGCAUCUUGGCCUUAAAAUACAUUGAUUUAUGUAAAGUCCAUGAGAAUCCUGAAAUUGCAAACUUAUUCUAAUGAAUUAAUCAGAAAAUAGGUUGGAUUGUCCUCCUGUUGGAUCUGCAUUCAGCUUGGCAUGGAUAAUUACUGUUCAUCAGUACAAACAGCAAUGGAGGGAAAAGAGAGAUUUAUAGUUGCUAUUUUCACCUGAAGAUGCCGACGUUAAAGUUCAACAAACACUCUGUGCUGGUGACAAACUCUUAUCCAUCUUUAAAAAUGCAACAAAUUUAAAGAAUCAUUUUCAUGGCACGGUAAAGUCAGUCUUAAAAAGAGAGUUCCACCUGCUAGCGUGAAGCAAAUAAUGAAUGAUGGAGGAGUUUUUUUCAGUGUCUAUAGAAAACAAGCCACACAGUAAAUUCCAACAUUUAAAAUGACUAAAAUUACAAAUUGCUUUAAAAAACAACUUAAAAUCUCUGGAACUGCAACGGAAGAAAUGAAGCCUUUUAGAAAGCAAAUCAACAUAAACCUCCCCUGCAUUCAUAACCUGACUAAGUCAGUCCUUUAUUUUUCAUUUCCACAUAGUUGUAAAGUCCAUCGAAAGAAUCUCUUAGAGCUCUAUUGACAAUACUAAGAUCAAUUAUAGAACAGAAGCAGUUGCUCAAGAUGAUGAUAAUAUUAGGGAGAUGAUAAUCCAGUAAGACGCCUCUCUGUCUCCUUCCUAGUUACUACACACCGUAAAUCUUGGCACCCGUGCCAUUCCUCUUAAUGAAUAUGGCUGGGCCAGCUGUACAUAAAAGCACCAAAUCUGUCACAAGGUACUUUCAGGUCAUAUUUUCAGUUAACUGUCAGUCAGUGUCUGUUAACAGUGUUUAAGCAGAAGUGGCAGUGUUUUCUUCAGACAGUUCUGGGCUGCUCCAGGGAGCUUGGGUCCCUAAUUGACAGUGAUGUGUUCUUUGAGUUGGUGUUGAAAUUUCUCAUCCGGCAAGCUGACCAGAGCUGCAGUCCCUGACAAGACACAUUAAUUAACAUUGAGAA